AUUGAACGCUGGCGGCAUGCCUUACACAUGCAAGUCGAACGGCAGCACGGGUGCUUGCACCUGGUGGCGAGUGGCGAACGGGUGAGUAAUACAUCGGAACAUGUCCUGUAGUGGGGGAUAGCCCGGCGAAAGCCGGAUUAAUACCGCAUACGAUCUACGGAGGAAAGCGGGGGACGUUCGGGCCUCGCGCUAUAGGGUUGGCCGAUGGCUGAUUAGCUAGUUGGGGGGGUAAAGGCCUACCAAGGCGACGAUCUGUAGCUGGUCUGAGAGGACGACCAGCCACACUGGGACUGAGACACGGCCCAGACUCCUACGGGAGGCAGCAGUGGGGAAUUUUGGACAAUGGGCGAAAGCCUGAUCCAGCAAUGCCGCGUGUGUGAAGAAGGCCUUCGGGUUGUAAAGCACUUUUGUCCGGAAAGAAAUCCUUGGCCCUAAUACGGUCGGGGGAUGACGGUACCGGAAGAAUAAGCACCGGCUAACUACGUG
rnacentral:rRNA from 1 species